CUGCAAAAGGAUAUCUGUGGUAAUCACUUGAUGAUUCCCUGUUCUGUUCAUUCCCUCUGAAGCACCUAGCAUUGGCUACUGUUGGAAGACAGGAUACUGGACUGGAUGGACCUUUGGUCUGACCCAGGGUGACCGUUCUUAGGGAAGAGUCGGCUUCCUAUUCAAAAGCAACAUUUGUUUGGGUUUUGCUUGCAAGGAGAGUGGUUACAGGGCAUAGCUUGAUGCAUGGAGGCAUUCAGUGGCAGAGAUCAGGAAAGGACAUGAUGAAGCAUCUGUUGGGGGAGCAAAUGGACAUGAUGAUGAAGCAUCUGUUGGAGCUGCAAGAAAGCCAACAAGAGCACAGACCCCUGCUGCAUCCACUGUAUAACUGCCUACUCUCAUCCCCAUGUUCCAUAGCUUCCUCACCCAGACGCCCAAGAACAUGAAGGGGAUGGGGGAAGGGAGGCUCUGGGCACCCAGCCACUCCACUGCAGAUGAUGGCCAAAGCAACAGAAGGCUGUCAUUCAAACAAUUUGAUUUUUA